UUUCUUUCUACCCUAGCCACACACCCCGCCGUUCUCUCUGGUUUUCUCUCAAAACAACCCUUAUCGCUCUACGUCCCUCUUAACCCUAAACAAGACAAAGGUCGCCGCCCUCUACGCCACUUAAUGCUCCGACGGGGAACCACACCGGCGUGAAACCUACUCCGACCCUAGCACGAGACUCAUCCCUCAAGACCCACUCUGUUUCGAUCUCUACCCCUGCUCAAAAUCAACAACCAUCUAAGCCUGCCGUAAAUCCAACUAUAAUCCCCAAAAACCUAAGAUUAAUCUCUUUCAACAACAAACCCUAACUCACACGGCACUAGCAGUCUCAAGGCGUGAAGUUCUUACCCUUAAUGACCAAACGAGGCUCGGGUUCCGGCGAUAGUGACGUUCUGCUCUUCUAAUAUGGAAGUUAUGGGCUCGAGCCAAGUGAACGGCGGUAGUGCUUCCGUGAAUAGCCGACAAACGCAGGAACAUGGGGUCUUCACGAGGGGCAUGGACAGCAUGGGUGGAUAUGAGUCAUUGGGACUGAUUUUAUUCAACUAGUUUUGUAUCCCACGUGCUGUCUUUCUCUCUAAUAAUUUUAAUGUGCUGUUUAUGCUUUGUGAGUGUGCCCCAACACAAACUUUCCCCCACAUGUGCUUGUUGCCGUGUAUGAGCUGGAACUGUCUCAAAUGUGCUCCCACACGUUGCCCACUUGUGCUAUAUUUUAAUUCCCUUGCUGCCAUAUUUUGUGAGUGGGAUUUGUCUUCUAGUACUCCACUAAACAGUUCAGCAUGAGGCAGAUUCUUGUGUACCUAUAUGUGCAAAGAAUAAACAAGUAUUUCAAUGAUAUU